CUUGCACUGCCUUUGCUGCACCCAGCUGCACUACAGUUCGCAGUAGCGUUAUAACCGACUCCAUUGCCCCUUUCUCCAGGUCCUUACUCCCUCGCCUCCGUCCAUCGUCGGAGCUCCUUAUCCCCGCCUUUGUGUUUGUCUUGACGCACUCGUGGGGCACCCCUCCCGUAACAGCUACCCACAUAAUGAAGCGCAUAGAGACCGUUUCGAAACACCUGCAGGACAAUGAGUUUGUCCGCGUCGAACGACGCGGUGGGGUCGGGCUGAUCCGCAUGUUGAGUUCGGCGCCGCCGCGCUCGCACAUCGGCGGCUGCAUACUAUGUGCUCCAAUGCGAGCGCAGGUCUUGCGCGCCCUCAAGACGCUAGAAGCCGACGCCGACUGUCGUCUCAUUGUGCUCACCUCAACCAGUCACCGUUUUUUCUCCAGCGGCAUCGAUAUCGCCAACUUCACGGAGUGCUUCAUCUCCGACCCUACCGCGCAGCCGCCUGUGCCAUCCUUGUCGGAGCUGACAGCCGCGGUCGCCAUGUGCCCCAAGGUGUGUGUAGCAGUUAUUCAGGGUCUGUGCUCGUCAUGGGGGCUCGAGCUUGCUCUGGCGGCCGACUACCGCAUCUGCGAGGUGAACGCACACUUCCGCUUCCCGGAGGUGCGGUUUGGCAUCACCCCCGGCGGCGGCGGUGCACAGCGGCUCGUAUGCCUCGUUGGCGUGCCGCACGCGCUGAACAUGCUGUGCUACGGCCGCCGAGUGUACGCAAAGGAAGCGCACCAGAUCGGCCUCGUUGACGCACCAGCGUACAGCGCCCCACACUUUUGGACGGCGUUGGGAGGGUUCCUCGAGAAGCACGUCACCGCGGCCACUCCCGGCACGCCAGGCGGCCACGGCGAAAAGGCGACCGGCCUGAGCACGCUGGAGGAAGCGCGGGCGGCAAAAGCGGUCGCCGUGCACCGCCGUCGCAGCUGCCCGGCGUACGCGAAGCACUCCCUCUUUAACCGCGGCUGGUACGCGUGGAUGGAGCACAAGCUGCGCGAAUCUGUGCCGCGCGAGGUUCGGGCUCCGUACCGCGCGAUCGAGGCGGUGAAGCUGGCCGUCACGCACAGCUGCCGUUUCGACAGACGCCGGAGCGUUCCGAGCUCGAACGGUGCCGAGCAAAACGACGCCGCGGCUGCAUACACGGCGGCGGAGCGGGCGCUGUUCGAGUCUUGUCUUCUUCUGCCUGAGACGCAGGCAAUGCAGCACCUGAUGCGUGCGUCGCAACGGACAUCGAUGUCGUGGGAGAGGAAAUGGAUCAGCCAGCAGCGCCCGGUGCCAGGACUGGCGAUUAUCAACGAUCGCAGUUCGGCAGUGCAUGUCGCGGUGAGCCCUCCCGUCUCGGCGGCCUCCGUGUCCGACCUCCAUACAGACGACGGCACGGCGCGACUGGGACUGAAGAAGGUGGCUGUCAUUGGUGCCGGCACCAUGGGAACGUCGAUUGCACUCAUGCUGCUGCGGCAGUCGGAGAUCGAGGUCAUCUUGGUGGAGGCGGACGCUCAGCGGCAGGCAGUAGCCCGCCAUGCCAUCGAAGACUACCUGCGCAGCCGUGUCGAGGCACACCGAUUAUCAAAACACCGCUUCGACGACAUGCUGCACCGACUGCGCGUGACGGGCAGCUGCAUAGCCCCGUUCCCUCCUGUCCUUGCGGAUGCUGAUCUCGUCUUCGAGUGUGCGCCGGAGGUUGCGGCGAUCAAGCAGAACAUCCUCGCCGGCCUCGACUCUGUCUGCAAGCGCUCCACGAUCCUUGCAACGGGCUCAUCGGCGCAGGACGUGAAUGAGCUCGCAGCCGUGACGCAGCGCCCUGGUCAGGUGCUCGGCAUACACUUCUUCCCCCCCGCAAACGAGUCCCCGCUGGUGGAGGUGAUCCGUGGCGCUGCGACGGAGGGGUGGGUCGUGGAGCGCGUGAUGCACCUGUUGUGCCAACUUGACAAGUACCCGAUUCUAUCUGUUAGUCGUCACGGCUACGUUGGGACUCGGCUGCUGCUCACCGCCCUCUACCAAGCGUACGCAAUGCUGGAGGACGGCUGCUUCCCGCUACAGAUCGACAGUGUGCUGCGCAAGGAUUUCCACUUCACUCGUGGCCUCUUUGAACUGGAGGACAUCAUGGGCCUUGAUGUGAUCGCCAUGGCGCGCGCCUCGAUGAUGGCAGUGGCAGCUCGCGCGAGCGGCAGCUCGGUACCGACGCCCAAGAGGGUAGGCAUUGAGCCGAGCGUGCCAAGCGCCUUUGAGCUCAGCAACGCGUGGUGCCCUCCGAGUCGGCCUGUCUUUGACAUCCCAAACGCUCUCGUUGCUGCUGGCGCCCUAGGCCGCAAAACGCGAGAAGGUUGGUACAAGUAUUUGACACCGCAGGAGGCAAGUCUGGGGUAUCGCCUGCGCCACCCUAUCGCCUCCUGGCUGUGGACCGGAUCUGCGCCAAACCGCCUGGGCACCGGCAAUACCGCCAAGGACGGAUCUGCUGCAGGCGCCACCACCGCUGCAGGCUGCGCGUCCAUGUUGUUGGACGCUUCCACGACACCGUUGGUGGCAGCUUCGAGCGCGGCGUCGCGCGAGCGAUACCCACUGGUCAGCUUGUCAUCUCUUAUUCGGCAGCAUAACUACUCCAUCGAGUACCGCACAAUUGACUGCAGCAAGCGGCGUCGCGUGACUCGCCGGCCAUUCUGCGAGGAGGAGAUCUUUGAGCGCAUCGUGUUCGCCAUGAUAAACGAGGCGGCCAAAAUCAUGGCAGACGGCAUCGUUACCAACGCGGCUGACAUUGACUGCAUCUCUGUCUACGGGUUUGGCUUCCCGGCGUGGAAGGGCGGGCUGUGCUACUACGCGGAUCAUGUGGCGGGGAUCGACAAGGUCGUACGCAAGAUGCAGGUGUACCAGCGCGCGCUCGGCUCGGAGGAGUUUCCGGCGCCGUGUUUGGCGUUAAGGGAGAUGCAGGUGAAGGGCAUGACGUUUGCCUCCAUGUUCAAGUAAGCGACGGCACGAGGCUUGCGAGAAGGGCUGGCAGCCGCUUGUUCUGAAAACAGCAGUACUGCGGGAGCGCAAAGCGAAAACAUUUUCCUACGAGCGUGCGCGAGCGCCCGGCAACCUUCUCGCCCCUCCCUCCCUCCGUCUUCUUUCCUCGCUACCGUUCGAGCAGCCACCUCAUGCGAAGCGGAAUCUUACAGAAGAUGUGCGCAGGUCUGCGCAUCCUUUCAGUGCCAAAACUGCUCAAACUGCUGCCUUGCGGUUCGCGUUUGUGUAUGUGCACGGACGGCACGCGGCGCUCUGGAAUGGGAGAGAAGAAGGGUGCCCAGCUAAGGCGAGACGCCUGACUGCGCUCGUGUUUCCUUGCGCUCUGUGGCGUAUCUCACUAGGGCAUGUUGAGAAUGCGUGCACAAGAGCCACAAAGGCACUGAGACAGGGGCGGAGAGGGGCAGCACAUCGACAGAGAUCAACAAGGAAGAUGGCGUGUGCGAGCCGGGAGAAUCUGAACAGCAAGCAUACCGAAAAAGAAAAUGAGAGAGAGGGCCGGUGGAGGGGCGGGAGCGGGGAGGCGCGCGCGCAAACCUCUUCAUAGACAUGGCACGCACAUCUGGGAGAGAGGGACAGUGGAGAAGGGCUGGGAAGUAAAACGCGCCUCGGCCCAGGAGUCGUUUCGAUGAGCUGGCAAAGGAGGGGAGAGGCAGCGAACAUGAAAGGCCCGCGCUCAUGUCGUCUUUGCGGCGACAGCUUCCAGACAUGUGCAGCCUUCUCACCACAUGCGAACGGCUGCUCAUCACAUAUUUUUUUUUUACUGUGCGGAUUCAUAUCUCCAGGUUGCAUGUGUAGGCGCGAAAAACUGGAGACCCAUGUCGGCGGGUGAGAUGAAGGGUGCACUCAUAUCGCACCAGGGCUUUCGCGAUUACUUUUCUC
rnacentral:misc_RNA from 1 species